UUCUUUUCCCACCGGAGCUUGCUCCACCGGGAAAAGAGGAGUGGCGAACGGGUGAGUAACACGUGGGUAACCUGCCCAUCAGAAGGGGAUAACACUUGGAAACAGGUGCUAAUACCGUAUAACAAUCGAAACCGCAUGGUUUCGUUUUGAAAGGCGCUUUACGGUGCCGCUGAUGGAUGGACCCGCGGUGCAUUAGCUAGUUGGUGAGGUAACGGCUCACCAAGGCCACGAUGCAUAGCCGACCUGAGAGGGUGAUCGGCCACAUUGGGACUGAGACACGGCCCAAACUCCUACGGGAGGCAGCAGUAGGGAAUCUUCGGCAAUGGACGAAAGUCUGACCGAGCAACGCCGCGUGAGUGAAGAAGGUUUUCGGAUCGUAAAACUCUGUUGUUAGAGAAGAACAAGGGUGAGAGUAACUGUUCACCCCUUGACGGUAUCUAACCAGAAAGCCACGGCUAACUACGUGCCAGCAGCCGCGGUAAUACGUAGGUGGCAAGCGUUGUCCGGAUUUAUUGGGCGUAAAGCGAGCGCAGGCGGUUUCUUAAGUCUGAUGUGAAAGCCCCCGGCUCAACCGGGGAGGGUCAUUGGAAACUGGGAGACUUGAGUGCAGAAGAGGAGAGUGGAAUUCCAUGUGUAGCGGUGAAAUGCGUAGAUAUAUG
rnacentral:rRNA from 1 species